rnacentral:rRNA from 1 species
AACGCGUGGGAACGUACCCUUCACUACGGAAUAGUCCCGGGAAACUGGGUUUAAUACCGUAUACGCCCUUCGGGGGAAAGAAUUUCGGUGAGGGAUCGGCCCGCGUUAGAUUAGUUAGUUGGUGGGGUAAUGGCCUACCAAGACUACGAUCUAUAGCUGGUUUGAGAGGAUGAUCAGCAACACUGGGACUGAGACACGGCCCAGACUCCUACGGGAGGCAGCAGUGGGGAAUCUUAGACAAUGGGGGCAACCCUGAUCUAGCGAUGCCGCGUGAGUGAUGAAGGCCUUAGGGUCGUAAAGCUCUUUCGCCUGUGAUGAUAAUGACAGUAGCAGGUAAAGAAACCCCGGCUAACUCCGUGCCAGCAGCCGCGGUAAUACGGAGGGGGUUAGCGUUGUUCGGAAUUACUGGGCGUAAAGCGCACGUAGGCGGAUUAGUCAGUCAGAGGUGAAAUCCCAGGGCUCAACCCUGGAACUGCCUUUGAUACUGCUAGUCUUGAGUUCGAGAGAGGUAAGUGGAAUUCCGAGUGUAGAGGUGAAAUUCGUAGAUAUUCGGAGGAACACCAGUGGCGAAGGCGGCUUACUGGCUCGAUACUGACGCUGAGGUGCGAAAGUGUGGGGAGCAAACAGGAUUAGAUACCCUGGUAGUCCACACCGUAAACGAUGAAUGCCACUCGUCGGGUAGCAUGCUAUUCGGUGACACACCUAACGGAUUAAGCAUUCCGCC